CGGAGGGUGCAAGCAUUGAUCGGAAUUACUGGGCGUAAAGGGCGCGUAGGCGGCUGGAAAAGUCGGAUGUGAAAUUCCGGGGCUCAACCCCGGAGCUGCAUUUGAAACUUUCUAGCUAGAGGUAGGUAAGGGAAAACGGAAUUCCACGUGUAGCGGUGAAAUGCGUAGAGAUGUGGAAGAACAUCAGUGGCGAAAGCGGCUUCCUGGACCAGUACCGACGUUCAGGCACGAAAGCGUGGGGAGCAAACAGGAUUAGAUACCCUGGUAGUCCACGCCAUAAACGAUGAGGACUAGACGUUGGAGGGGUAAGCCUUUCAGUGUCGUAGCUAACGCGCUAAGUCCUCCGCCUGGGGAGUACGGCCGCAAGGUUG
rnacentral:rRNA from 1 species